CAAUAGCGUAUAUUAAAGUUGUUGCGGUUAAAAAGCUCGUAGUUGGAUUUCUGCUGAGAACGACCGGUCCGCCCUUUGGGUGUGUAUCUGGCUCUUUCUUGGCAUCUUCUUGGUGAACGUUGCUGCACUUGACUGUGUGGAGCGCUACCCAGGACUUUUACUUUGAGGAAAUUAGAGUGUUUCAAGCAGGCAUACGCCUUGAAUACAUUAGCAUGGAAUAAUAAGAUAGGACCUCGGUUCUAUUUUGUUGGUUUCUAGAGCUGAGGUAAUGAUUAAUAGGGAUAGUUGGGGGCAUUCGUAUUUAACUGUCAGAGGUGAAAUUCUUGGAUUUGUUAAAGACGAACUUCUGCGAAAGCAUUUGCCAAGGAUGUUUNCAUUA
rnacentral:rRNA from 1 species